CCUUAAGGAUACAUAGAUUUCUAUUUUUAGACGGUCACAGUGCAAACAGUAAAAAUAACUUUUAAACAUGUUUCUUGGCCCCGUUGCUCCAUGGAUCUUAUGAUAAACACCAAAUGCAUUCGAUAUUUUAGUAUCGGGCGUAAAAACACUGUUAAAAUAUGUUUUUUCAAAGAUUGUUGAGAAAAAAAAACUCGUGAAAAACAAAAUGGCGGAAUCAUAAACAAUCGUGGUCAGGAGUUUCAUUUCGAGUUGAAACAUUGAGAAAACUUAACCUGCGGUCAUGAAAGUCGUUUAAAUUGAACAAAAGUAGUUAUUGUACGUAUAUGUUGGAGUUGUGAGAAGGAUAUUUGUAAAACAACCUGAAAUCGAGACUUUGAUUGUCGCCAUCAGGUGCACGACUGUAAAUAAUUAUUUCUCGUUGCCGUUUGACAGUCAACCUUUCAUUACCGAUUGAGUCAGAGUCUUUUAUCAUCGUUUUAGACACUCUCAGGAGUCUGUAGUGCUACGGUUUUUUUUCUUUUCAUUGAAAGGCUGUACUGCAGUAUGUAGGUCGACAAAACGAAAGUCCACUUUCAUUUAAAAUAGAACCGGAUAUUGACAAAAUUGACAGCUGAGUC
rnacentral:lncRNA from 1 species